AUGUGGGGGCGAAUGUGGAGCUCCGGACGCGGCUCCGGCAGCAGAUCCGGCCGUGAGAGGGACCCGGAGCGCGAGCGGCGCGUCCGGUCCGACGGCGCGAGGAAGCGCGGCGCCGGGAAGUGGACCAACCACGGGAUGUCGCCGCCGGCGAGCUUCAACCGCCGCGAGACGGAGGAGUACGACCGCCGGCGCGCGUCCUUCUCCUCCGCAAGGUCUUCCUACGCCGGAUCCUCCUCGUCCUCCGCCGCGGGCUUCCUCCCCGUGAAGAGGGAGUGGUCCGACGAGGAGGAGGAGCCGGAGCCGCCGGCGCCGUUCGCCUUCGUCUCGGUGAAGGAGGAGCCCGCUCCGCUCAGCUUCCGCGGAGUCGUCGGGCCCGAGGACUACGUCGCGGACUUCGACGCCGUCGCCGCCGCCAUCGCCGAGCAGAGCAUGCGCGAGGAGGAGGAGCGCCGGCGCCACGCCGAGGAGCUUGAAGCCCUCGAGUGGCGGCAGGCGGCCGCCGCCAACGAGAAGGCUGACGAGUGGCGUCGCAUCCGCGCGGAGCAGGCAGAGAAGUACGUCAUCUGUGCAGCUCCGGCGAGGAGGAUUGAGCGUCCGGCUCCUCCACGGUGUCGUCCAGUUGCCGCGACCUCGCCACCGUCAGAUCCGACCACCCAGUACUAG
rnacentral:rRNA from 1 species